GUCAGCAAUUGAUCAAUAAUUGUAAUGGUUUUAAUGAAUUAAAGAUCUAAUUGCUUGAUACAUUUAGGGCAAAGCUACAUCGGGCAAAUGUGAAUUUUAUUUCUGAACCUAUUGAAGAUGGGACAAAUGGAGCAGUGAUAGUUCUUACAACUCCAGAUGCUCAGCGCACGAUGCUUGCUUAUCAGAACCAUUAUAAAGGCUUGUGAAGAAGCUCGCAGGGGUGGCGCACUAGUAGCAGUCACAGCAUCAGAUGUCUCCUGCAUCGAGUGACAUUAUGAUGAUUUCUGGGAUCGACUUUAAAACAAAGUAUGGAGUUGCCACCAAUCCUUUUUGUUUAGGCGUGAUCGGGUUACCCUGUGGUCGAUCAUUUUAAUAAAAUAUUUUGGUUUAUUAAAACAACAUUUUUGGUCUACGAAAAACUACAAGACGGAUUCGGGAGUCGGUUACACGCGAGGAAAGAUUAUCACCCUCGCAACGCCCAAAAUUGGUACCGUAUUGAUGGAUUAACGUCCUAAUGUUGAAAAUUUGAAAAGAUUUUAAAAUAUAAUCUUCAAAAACGUUUGGAUAACUUGAAUUGGAUAUUGAGAUUCUCUCGUUUAAAAGGAAUAAAAUAUUACGUCCAGCACGAUUGGAUACAA